rnacentral:tRNA from 1 species
GGUUGUGGCUCAGUGGUAGAGUGCUGGCCUAGCAUGCGUGAGGCACUAGGUGUGAUCCCUGGGACCA